AAGAGUAUGACAUUGCUCACAUUGCUUCCAAUGUUUGCCAGCUUAAUAAUUUAGGCUGGCUUUUU
rnacentral:antisense_RNA from 1 species